rnacentral:rRNA from 1 species
UGGGGAAUAUUGCACAAUGGGCGCAAGCCUGAUGCAGCCAUGCCGCGUGUGUGAAGAAGGCCUUCGGGUUGUAAAGCACUUUCAGCGGGGAGGAAGGCGGUGAGGUUAAUAACCUCAUCGAUUGACGUUACCCGCAGAAGAAGCACCGGCUAACUCCGUGCCAGCAGCCGCGGUAAUACGGAGGGUGCAAGCGUUAAUCGGAAUUACUGGGCGUAAAGCGCACGCAGGCGGUCUGUCCAGUCGGAUGUGAAAUCCCCGGGCUCAACCUGGGAACUGCAUUCGAAACUGGCAGGCUAGAGUCUUGUAGAGGGGGGUAGAAUUCCAGGUGUAGCGGUGAAAUGCGUAGAGAUCUGGAGGAAUACCGGUGGCGAAGGCGGCCCCCUGGACAAAGACUGACGCUCAGGUGCGAAAGCGUGGGGAGCAAACAGG